GACGAACGCUGGAGGCGUGCUUAACACAUGCAAGUCGAACGAUGAAAUGGAGCUUGCUCCAUGGAUUAGUGGCGAACGGGUGAGUAACACGUGAAUAACCUGCCCUUAAUUUUGGAAUAACCCAGGGAAACCUGGGCUAAUACCGGAUAAGUAAACCUGUGGCAUCACAUGGUUUUGGAAAGUUUUUCGAUUAAGGAUGGAUUCGCGGCCUAUCAGCUUGUUGGUGAGGUAAUGGCUCACCAAGGCGACGACGGGUAGCCGGCCUGAGAGGGUGAACGGCCACACUGGGACUGAGACACGGCCCAGACUCCUACGGGAGGCAGCAGUGGGGAAUAUUGCGCAAUGGACGAAAGUCUGACGCAGCGACGCCUCGUGAGGGACGAAGGUCUUCGGAUUGUAAACCUCUUUCAGCAGGGACGAAGCGAAAGUGACGGUACCUGCAGAAGAAGCACCGGCUAACUAUGUGCCAGCAGCCGCCGUAACAC
rnacentral:rRNA from 1 species